GAGUUUGAUCAUGGCUCAGAUUGAACGCUGGCGGCAUGCCUUACACAUGCAAGUCGAACGGCAGCACGGGAGCUUGCUCCUGGUGGCGAGUGGCGAACGGGUGAGUAAUGCAUCGGAACGUAUCCUGGAGUGGGGGGAUAACGUAGCGAAAGUUACGCUAAUACCGCAUAUUCUGUGAGCAGGAAAGCGGGGGACCUUCGGGCCUCGCGCUCUUGGAGCGGCCGAUGUCGGAUUAGCUAGUUGGUGAGGUAAAGGCUCACCAAGGCGACGAUCCGUAGCAGGUCUGAGAGGAUGAUCUGCCACACUGGAACUGAGACACGGUCCAGACUCCUACGGGAGGCAGCAGUGGGGAAUUUUGGACAAUGGGGGCAACCCUGAUCCAGCCAUGCCGCGUGAGUGAAGAAGGCCU
rnacentral:rRNA from 1 species